AUUGAACGCUGGCGGCAGGCCUAACACAUGCAAGUCGAGCGGAUGAAGGGAGCUUGCUCCUGGAUUCAGCGGCGGACGGGCGAGUAAUGCCUAGGAAUCUGCCCGGUAGUGGGGGCUAACGUCCGGAAACGGGCGCUAAUACCGCAUACGUCCUGAGUGAGAAAGUGGGGGAUCUUCGGACCUCACGCUAUCAGAUGAGCCUAGGUCGGAUUAGCUAGUUGGUGGGGUAAAGGCCUACCAAGGCGACGAUCCGUAACUGGUCUGAGAGGAUGAUCAGUCACACUGGAACUGAGACACGGUCCAGACUCCUACGGGAGGCAGCAGUGGGGAAUAUUGGACAAUGGGCGAAAGCCUGAUCCAGCCAUGCCGCGUGUGUGAAGAAGGUCUUCGGAUUGUAAAGCACUUUAAGUUGGGAGGAAGAGCAGUAAGUUAAUACCUUGCUGUUUUGACGUUACCAACAGAAUAAGCACCGGCUAACUUCGUG
rnacentral:rRNA from 1 species